GGAUUUGAUGAUAAUUUUUGACACCCAGUCUUACGUGCUCUUUUGGUGCACUCUGGUGAUAUUAAUUGUCUGAUCC